rnacentral:rRNA from 1 species
AACCAGUAAGCUAAGCUAUAUAAAUUGGUAAAAAGACAGUUAGGUAAAAAAUAGCUUAUUAAUUUCCUUUAUAAAAGUAAAAUUUAAUAUAGGUGUAUUAUUAUAACAAUGGCUUUAUUACUGAAUCUGUGAUAUCUUUAAGGGAAACUGGGAUUGGAUACCCCAUUAUUUCUAGAAAUAAAUUAAAAAUAUUACCUGAGUACUACAAAUAAAAUAAUUUAAAACUCAAAGGACUUGGCGGUAUUUUAGACCACUUAGGGGAACCUGUCCUAUAAUCGACAAUCCGCGUUAAACCUUACCUUUUUUAGUAAUCAGCUUGUAUACCGUUGUCAUCAGGUAACUUUUAAAGAAAAGAGAAGUUAGCUAAUAAAUUUAUUAAAUUAAAAUGUCAAAUCAAGGUGCAGCUUAUAGAAAGGAAAGGAUGGGUUACAAUUAUUAAUUAUAAUACGAAUAUACAUAAUGUAAAAAGUUUGAAGGAGGACCUAAAAGUAAAUUUAUGUAUAUAAAUAAUUUGAACAAGGCUCUAAAAUGUGC